GGCUGGCAGGUGACUCUCGGCAAAGCUCCUCGGAGCCCAGGGCUGGUCCGCGGGCGCCUUCCCGAGCUGCAGGGACCCAGCUGUUCACCCGGCCGACCCCGCCGAGGGUGCCCGCGUCCCCGCGGUGACACGUGACCAAAGUCAAGACCGCGUCCUUUGUCUUGGCGAGAAACAAGGUGGCCCUCUGGCCAGUAACCGGGGACGGAUGAUAUCUUUGCCUUUGCACCCGCGUUUCUGGAAGCGGAUAAGGUUUCAUUUCCGCGGAGGGGUAAAGGGAGGCAGCCCUCUGCGGCGAGGUCCCGCUGGGGGCCCGUGAGAGCUGCUGGGCAAAGGCCCCGGCACGGUCCUCCGGCUUUCUCUUUUCCCGGGGUUCUCGGAGGCUGUUUCCAGAGCGGAACUGACACAAGCGGAGAGCUGGUACCGCAGCCCCGCUUCCCGUAGGGCAGGCGGAAGGGCGGUGGUGUGCAGCCUUUCCCACAUAAAACGAGCCUUGAACUUGGCCGGCCUAUGAACCGGGUUAUGUUUACUGGGGCUCAGAUCCUCCCUUCACCGUCAGGGUUUCCUUCCCGGUCCCUUCAGCUCCGUCGAGGUCCUGGUGCCAUAGGUCCCUGCACAUUGUGAAAAGUAGUGAUCAAAUGGCAGCCUACUCCUUUUCGGUGGCCAGACCGUCACACUGGCAGGCGCGGGUGAGCUCGUGAUCCCGACCCCUGUAGGAAACCUGUUCCUGGUCGCCC
rnacentral:lncRNA from 1 species